GAUGAACGCUGGCGGCGUGCCUAAUACAUGCAAGUCGAGCGAACGGACGAGAAGCUUGCUUUUCUGAUGUUAGCGGCGGACGGGUGAGUAACACGUGGAUAACCUACCUAUAAGACUGGGAUAACUUCAGGAAACCGGAGCUAAUACCGGAUAAUAUUUUGAACCGCAUGGUUCAAAAGUGAAAGACGGUCUUGCUGUCACUUAUAGAUGGAUCCGCGCUGCAUUAGCUAGUUGGUAAGGUAACGGCUUACCAAGGCAACGAUGCAUAGCCGACCUGAGAGGGUGAUCGGCCACACUGGAACUGAGACACGGUCCAGACUCCUACGGGAGGCAGCAGUAGGGAAUCUUCCGCAAUGGGCGAAAGCCUGACGGAGCAACGCCGCGUGAGUGAUGAAGGUCUUCGGAUCGUAAAACUCUGUUAUUAGGGAAGAACAUAUGUGUAAGUAACUGAGCACAUCUUGACGGUACCUAAUCAGAAAGCCACGGCUAACUACGUG
rnacentral:rRNA from 1 species